rnacentral:rRNA from 1 species
UACGAAGGGGGCUAGCGUUGCUCGGAAUCACUGGGCGUAAAGCGCACGUAGGCGGAUUGCUAAGUCAGGGGUGAAAUCCUGGAGCUCAACUCCAGAACUGCCUUUGAUACUGGCGAUCUUGAGUCCGGGAGAGGUGAGUGGAACUCCGAGUGUAGAGGUGAAAUUCGUAGAUAUUCGGAAGAACACCAGUGGCGAAGGCGGCUCACUGGUCCGGUACUGACGCUGAGGUGCGAAAGCGUGGGGAGCAAACAGG